rnacentral:miRNA from 1 species
UGCCCAGUAGCACCUUAGAGACCAACUAAGUUUGUUCUUGGUAUCAGCUUUCAGUAUGCAUGCACACGAAAGCUUAUACCAAGAACAAACUUAGUUGGUCUCUAAGGUGCUACUGGACA